CUUCGACCUUCCAAAGUGCUGGGAUUACAGGCGUGAGCCACCAUGCCUAGCUAAGCUCUUUAGAAAUGAUUUACUCCCAUUUUUUGAGGUUUGCCAUGUCACAGAAAAUGAGACCCCACUGAGAGAUUCAAAUGUGCGGGAAGAAAGAACAAUGUGUGCUUCUUCACAGGGGGAGAGCAGGGAGCCUGCAGCCCGCCUGAGCUGCAGGUGCUUCAGCUGGUUUCACACUUGCUGUCCCCAGCCCCUGCUCCUGGCCAGACGCCGGCCUCUGUGGGCGGCCCGGAGGGCACCGUGCGUUGGUGCAGGCCUUCGUGGGCAGCAGCGCUGACGUUUGGAAACAAGGCCCCACCCACACAGGCUGGGUUUCAGUUUCACCAGGGAGCAAACACCAUUAUGCAAAUUAUUUUCCUUGCUCAACUCCCCAUCCCCCAUCACUGUCUUACAUAUUCAUUCUUCACUCUGAAGUUAAUGUACACAAGAGGCCAACUAAGGAUUUGCAUCCUAUUUACUUUAAAAUGCCCAGGUGCAAUUUUGAAACAAGAUUCUCCUUUCAGAAGGGCAAUCACGAAUAUAAAGUAGAGAAUUAGUAGCAGUGUCAAGAGUAAAGCCCCGAGGCUAAUACCAAACUUCUAACAUAAACGGAGUGUUGAAAGGCACAUGCCAGGAAUUAUAUAAACCGAAGGAAAAAGACAACUGGGGGGUGUGUUCCCAUGCAUUCGAUUUGGUCCAAGGAGAGCCAGGCCCACGGAGAGAGGACAGACAGCCUCGGGCCCCUUCAAUCCUCUCUACACAUGUCAAGAAUACCUGGGUCUCAUGGGGUUUAGGAAAACGAAUGUCUAGUUCACAUUCAGGUCACGUUCUAGAAAUUAGGGCAUGAAGUCAUUUUAUCUGCAUUAUGUGUGAUUCAUUUGCAGUUUAACUCAAGUGAUUUGAGGUACCAACUCAGGCAAAAAAAUUCUGAACCCAGAAACAGUGUUAGUAAAAUUUGUAGGGGGUGGAGGGUGUGGGAUGGGGUGCACAAAGCUAUGCUUUCCUUUCCUGUCAUGAUAAAUAAAUUUGUUAGGGAUAUGUUUAUAUGAAUUUAGACCUGAAUAAUUCCAUGCAGCUGUAAUCAUUAUUUUAUUUAUGAGAUUCAGAUAAUUGUAGUGAAUAAUUUUGCGGUUGUUUCUAAAGAGGUCAAGGGUUUCUAUCAGCAGACACACAGAAGGAACCAUUUUUAGGAUGGUAAUUUCUAUUUCCCUCAAAAACAUUCUUCCUUGGUCCCCACUUAUACUCAGUUUCAUUUUUCAAGGCGGAUUGCAAGGUUCGUGUAAAGCUCACAGCUGCAAUGAAGUCACUGACAAAUCUGUGAAUUACCCUGAGUGCAAAGACAAGCUAGUUCAUUUAUAAACAGCCCUUAGAAUAAUAGUAAACUAAACUGCAGGUGGGAAACCUUCAUAAGAUAAAAACUCAGACACACUGUCCCUUCUUGGAAAGCCCUGGAUAAGAAGUAAACAAUGCCAACAAGUCCCUUAGUGACUUGUCACUCCACUUAAAAUGGCCUUUAUUAAGAGUGAUGACCUCCGCCUUAACUGUAAGACCAACCAACUCAAAUGUAAGUCAAGAACAAGAACAUAUUUCCUUGCAGGGGAUUCUGUGCAAACUCAUAGAUGAUUUGCACCUCUGUGAAAGGUCAUGGCUAGGAGGCCAGGUUGAGGAAACUUGAACAGCUAAAGUACACCCAGGCUGUCUGCUAACUACCUGCAUCCUAAUUACCUGUCUGCUAUCGCUGUGUGACGUGCAGAGCCAUGAGAUAGGAUCUGUCUUCAUUUACAGAUCAUAAAAAAACAAAGCUUUAGACAGGUUAAGUAGCUUGCCCAAUGAAAGCAAUUUCUUCUGACCCUUGUGCACAAUUAUGUCCACAGGAGAACACCAUAUACAUAUAUUGCCCAACCUUUGAACACCAUUUACUCAAGAAUGGCUUUCCUUUCCCUGCCAUGCACAGGCAGGCUUGUGGUUAGCCAGUCCUUUCUGGUCAGUGUGGAUAUAUCUGCUGGGUUCAGGGGUGUAGGGUUAGGGAUCUCACUGUUUCCGCACACCAAAACUGUUCUCCAACAGCUCAGUCAAUAAAAACAGCUGAUAUCGGGGCAGGGGUGGAGUUCUUGGUUCAGGACUCUUCUAAUGUCCUGGACUGCAGAAAAGCCCUUGCCCUUACCCUGGAUAAAUACCUGAGAAUGCUUGUCUCCUUCCCACUCUGUAGGCACUCUUGUCCUCUCCAUUCCCUUCCUUGCCUCCUGAGGAGCUUCUGUGGCCCUGGGCUGAUGUGGGGAAGGGAGAAGGGUCCCCUGCACCCCUGGGAUGGGAACAUGAAUGAGUCUGCCCACCAACCCCUAAGAAAUAUGCAUACCUGUGCUCAAAUUAUGGGGCCAUCAGUUCUGCUAGUCUCAGAGCCCCCUAGGGAGGGCGACCCAGCUUUUACUGGACACCCAGGGACUUUCCCUGGAACCUGCUGUUGUGAGCGUUUCUGAGGUGUAGACAAACAGCUCCCCCACACACCUAGCCAACAACCCACUCUCAAGGUGGGAAACACCAUUCUAAGGACUCGCAUUAACCCAUCUGGAUAACCCUGGGUAAUCUGGAGCAGAGGUCGAAACCACUGAAUGGCUCAGGUACGGUAGAAAAUGCCUCUGAUUGAUUGUUUUGGACAUCGCUGCUAUUGCAACAGAGAAAGAUCAAGCCCCAUCACCUAGAAGGGAUUUCAUUCUUUGCAACAGGAAAGAUAGUUCAGAAUCCAGCGCCAAUUAUUCCCAGAAAAAAAAUACCAUUUGAAACAUUACAAAUGAAAUUGAGUUAUAUAAACCCCCUUCCUCAUCCCUUCCAAGGAGGGUGGAUUCUGCGGAUAUCAAGGGUGACUGUGGCAGACUGGAAGGGUGGGAAAGAGAUCAAAUUAGAGAAAACCAAGGGAAGAGCAACUGCCAGCCACCUAGGAAAAAGGAGAGAGGCCUAGGUGACAGGACCCCGAGUUGGAGAGAAAGACACACAGAGGGGUGAGUCAGAGGAAAGCUACAGAAGGGUGUGCUGGGGACAGGCGUCAAGAGGUGAGGCUGCCUCAGGGAGAGGAAGCACGGGAGGAGACCUGGCCCAGGAGAGUUUCAGAGGCUCCUCCCAGCAGCGUGCAGUAGUACCUCCUCCCCCAAGAAAUCAGGAUUGUGCAGGAAACACUCUCCUACUUCUCAGUGGCCACUGGAGAGCUCUGAACCCAGCCCAGGGUCAACUGCCCGGCACUGUCAGGCAGUUCCUCUGACUCCACAGCACAUUCUAAUUGCAGUCACUCCUGCAAGUGCUCAGAGGACACCCAACCCUAUGAUCUCAGCCAACUCAUGAAGUUUGAUUUCACAACUUAGUGAUGUCUUCCCAGUGGAAUCCUAAAUGAUAAGGAAAAUGGUAUAGAGCCAAGACUUGAACAUUAACAACCCAGGAGCACAGAAACAGCACAGUUAGCUGAGAGGCGUUAUGGAGAGAAGCAACCGAAUGCACACUGAGCGCUGUGAGAAGUCCACGACAGUGGGGAACAGCGCCCACCGUCACAAAAAGAAAGACCCUCGGCAGGUACUUUAGAGUCACGUUCAUGCUGUAAUAUGUGGGGAAGAAAGACUAUUCCAAAUGGAUCUGGCUUUUUAAAACAAGGGAAUUUUCCUUGCUCUUGGGAACCAGCAAAAUCCAGCUGCUCAUUGAACUGCCUGUCUGGAAUCUCACAAAUUUGCACCUUGAAGUUGUUAAUAAAGGACUAAGUUGAUAAUUCGAACAAA
rnacentral:lncRNA from 1 species